rfam:Danio rerio unplaced genomic contig CTG2934, GRCz11 reference primary assembly.
GGGGAAUUAGCUCAAAUGGUUAAGUGCUCGCUUUGCAUGCUAGAGGUAGCGGGAACAAUGCCUGCAUUCUCCA